rnacentral:lncRNA from 1 species
CCAAGAUAGUUUUCCCCAAAUUUCGACAAUCUAAUUUCACCCAAAAAGAGUAUGGAAAAACCCUAGAAAUUGGGGAUUUUUGGGCUGAUUCCUUAAGAUAGAAAAAGGCUGAAAACACAAUAAGAACAGAAAAUAGAUUAGAUAAUGAUUCAGCACAAGUAGAAAUAAAGAAAGAAUUGACAGUAAGAAAUUAAAAGAUAAGUCCUAAGAAGCCUUGAAAUCUCGAAAGAUCUCAUAACUCCCUUCAAACGGCUCUAAUCUCCCCUCCAAAUAAUAUCAAUGGCAAGAAGAAGGUUGAAGAUGGCUCCCACAAUCACAAGAUUGUUAAAACAACUUCUAAAGAAAACUCAAGAGAAAAAUCUUGGAGAAAACUCAAAGAAAAUUCUGCUCUCAACAAAUCUGAAAUUUUAAUAAUAA